UGCCAGAAACUGUGACCUUGUGUCCUCA
rnacentral:piRNA from 1 species